rnacentral:rRNA from 1 species
CGAACGGGUGAGUAACGCGUGAGGAACCUGCCUCAAAGAGGGGGACAACAGUUGGAAACAACUGCUAAUACCGCAUAAGCCCACGGGUCGGCAUCGAUCUGAGGGAAAAGGAGUGAUCCGCUUUGAGAUGGCCUCGCGUCCGAUUAGCUAGUUGGUGAGGUAACGGCCCACCAAGGCGACGAUCGGUAGCCGGACUGAGAGGUUGAACGGCCACAUUGGGACUGAGACACGGCCCAG